rnacentral:lncRNA from 1 species
UCCUCCUUGAACUGAGAACAGAGUUGUUAUUCUUCUUAUACGCGAUUCAGAUGGGAUGUUCAUAAUGGCGUUAUCUCUCUAACACCAAAAUACCCUUAGUAUUUUGUCGUCAGGUGUCGACUGACAACGGACUUAUUUGGCUAACAACCAGAUGAUUUUGGUCCUUUUUCCGUUUAUUUUUGGAGGAAAGGUUACGUGAUACAAUAAGGAUAACGACGUGUGAUAUCAUCCUAUGAAUCCCAGACAUAUUAUAUAAAAAUAUUUCGGUACAUUUAUAGAAGUCAACAAACCUCUCACUUAAAAAAUAUGAAAUACAUAGAUUAUUAUAUCGCGCCUGUUAGCGUAAAAUCAA